CCCGCACAAGCGGUGGAGCAUGUGGUUUAAUUCGAUGCAACGCGAAGAACCUUACCUGGUCUUGACAUCCCGGAGACCCUUAGGAAACUAGGGGUGCUUCCAUCUGGAAGAAUCUGGAGACAGGUGCUGCAUGGCUGUCGUCAGCUCGUGUCGUGAGAUGUUGGGUUAAGUCCCGCAACGAGCGCAACCCUUGCCUUUAGUUGCCAGCAGUUCGGCUGGGCACUCUAAAGGGACUGCCGGUGUUAAACCGGAGGAAGGUGGGGAUGACGUCAAGUCCUCAUGGCCUUUAUGACCAGGGCUACACACGUACUACAAUGGCCGAUACAAAGGGCAGCGACACUGCGAGGUGAAGCCAAUCCCGUAAAAUCGGUCUCAGUCCGGAUUGGAGUCUGCAACUCGACUCCAUGAAGUUGGAAUCGCUAGUAAUCGUGGAUCAGCAUGCCACGGUGAAUACGUUCCCGGGCCUU
rnacentral:rRNA from 1 species